GGUGCUGUAUAUAAUAGCUGUACUCGAUUGGUCACUUCUCUGCGUCAGUGAUACCAAGUUUGUUUUACAUAUUUCGGCAAUUGGUAAAAAUGGCUCUAAGGACAAAUUAUUGUCAAAAAGGACAAUCAAAAUAUAUUUGGUUAUUAUUUUUAACUUGAUAUAAAUAAUAAUUUACUAAAUAAAAUGUAUUAGUAUGUUUACAUAUGAAAAUAAUCCCGAUCUAAGCUCGUUCAAUAAUCUAACCGUUUACAUAGAGCCAAAUGAGAUUAUAAAUUGUCAAAUGUGUUGCAUUUGUUGUUGUAUUCCACAAAUUUCUCUCGCUAUCGGCCAUUUUUGUUCACAUUUUCGUUUGACACACCAAAAAUCUAGUUGUAUAAAUCGAGAUAACAUUAUAAUUUCGGAUUAUCCAGAGAGGAAUUUUGUAUGGGAAAUCUCGUUUCUUAAUUAAAGAUUAUCGUGUUAAGCACGUAAAUGGAGAUAAUCUCGUUAUAUGUAAACAUAAUAUAAGGCAUUCACGCCGCUAGAAACGAAGCGGUAAAAAAAAAACAAUUUUGCGCAGAUUUAUAUUAUUUCCACAAAAGAAAACGAUGCAACACUAUUGCACAUGAUUAAGAGGACAAUUAGCGCAGAGUUGCACCACAAGUGAUGCCAGUUUGUUUGAAUUACUGGAGAGCGUGUUCUAUUGGGUUCUCUAAUUGCAAAACUUAAGUCCUUGGCGUUAUAUAUGUGGCAACCUCCUACAAUUACUACGGCGCUAACUUUACACUACAGCGCAACACUCUAAAUUACAACCCUAGCUUUUAAUCCUUUAUUCCUUUUAUUAUUAUAUUCACAAUUGUACUUAAGCAAGAAUUAGCAAUAAACUCACUCUCUCUAAUUUUGGACGUCAAGCAGUAAGCAGCUUUUAUUUGUUCCCGCGCCUACUCGUACCUACGCAUUCACAUUGGUACAUACUUGUAUACCGCUAUACACUUCUACUGAUCCCCACGCCUGGUGACUUCUACAUAUAUAACCCAAAAUUAUUUAUACACAAAUCUGCGAGGUUUAGGUUGCUGAGACGUUUAACUCACUAAACCGCUGGAUUUAACGAGAUUUCGUCAUACAAAAAUGACACUUUAAAAUCAUUUCUCCAAAGUGAUUUGAAGCUGAACUUCUCUUUGCGCCAUCUGUUGGUCACAUUUGUUUAAUCGCAGCUGAUUUUGACACUACAAACUGUCAAAGUGAAAAAAUAAACACACAAUUUAAAAGGAGAAAAUAACAGACAAAAGGAAAAAACGGAAAUAAUGACACAGUGUCAAAAAAAGAAACGUGUUGUUUGGAGUGAGGCUACCGAGGCCGAUUUAAUUCAACAGUGGUAAGAGAAAAUGCCACUGCUUCGUUCUUCUAGAAAGAACAGCCACAUCUAUGAAGAGAUGUCCAGCGCCAUGAUAUAUGUUGGCCAUAUACAUAUAUACUGCACAGGAGAUCAAAACAAAGAUACAUAACUUUACAAAUAAAUACAGUUUUAGGCAAGAGAAACAAAAAAUUGGACCAUCGGGUGGCUCCCCUAGUACUUGGAAGCUCUACGAAGUGGUUCACCAAGCAGUAGGCGGCUAUAAGAACUUUUCUUCCGCCGAGCUUGUGGAGAACAGCAUCGAGGGAGAUAUAGAGGCGAUUUACCUGGAGGCAGAGAUAGAAGGGGAGUCGCCGCUCCCGAGCCUUGACGCUGACCCAUCUACAUCGGGUAGCUCAACUUGGCCAUCGUCUAACGAAGCUAACAUAAAGAAAAAAACGGCUGUUAUGGUAAUGGAGGAGAUACGUUACGAUUUUUUAAAGGCGACUGAAGUGCAGAACACAUAGAAGACGACAAGCGACGAGCGACAUCUGUCAAAUAUUAAAAUACACGCGUUAUUAUUGGCACAGAUUUUUUGACAACAGCACAACUACACGACAACAGGCUUGUAGUUGUCGUUGUCGCUAAAUUAAAAAUGUUUCUAAUUUUGUCGACGACAAUGGGCAGCUGUAGAGUUGCCACUAAUAUGAGAAAUGUAAAAUUAUUAAAAGUUAUAACAAAUAUGACGUUAUUUCGCCAGCAGAAACGUAAAAGAAUUUUGAUAUAUCAUUUAAAAUAACAAUCGAUUAUUUAAAACAAAUAAAUCGCCAAUUUUUACUUUUUUGCUCAAAUAAUUUCACUUUAAACUAAAUAUGUAAAUUUUAUUGAAGUGAAAGAUUUUAGUACGGCAACAAUGAAAUUGUUGUUUGAUAUGUCGCUGCCGUCUUCAAAAUGUUCAAGACGCUGGCUUCAAAGCGACAUUUGUGAUCAGCCGUCGCUACGUCGUGUCGUGUCGUCGUCUUUGUGCUCAGCACUCGAGGCGAUGAAGGAAGCCGAUGAAAAGCGUCUGGAUAUGUAACAAAUGUAUGUGAACGAUGUCAGGGAAAUGAAGGACGCUUUUAUCGACUUCCUUCGUCGCCAAAACUAGAUUUAAGUAGAAAUUAAGUUUUAGUUUUAAGAUACAUAUGUAAAUAAUGUAAAGAAUGAAUUGUCAAUGAAAAAAUGAAUAUAAGAAAAAGAAUGUAGGAAAAUAUUAAUAUAAAUAAACUUAAAAAAUGUAUAUUAUAUAUAUAUAUAUAAAAUAUAGAAAUAUUUUUUUGUAGUGGAAUAAAUAUUUCAAAUAAUUACGAACCGAAAUAUGAAACAAACGCUUGUCUUAUUUCCUCUGCUCUUGGGUUAACAUUUCCACAAACGUAAGAGACGUUUUCUGGCAACUGUCGAGUUUCGUUUUCGAUUUGUUGUGCUGCAAUCCACUUUUCAUUAAUUUCAUUUAAAUUCAUUUUCAUUUCUUCAUUUAAAAAGUUGUGCAAAACGCCGCACGCUUUGAUGACAGCUCUCGUGUGAACCAUGUGGUUAUCCAAGCCUUUGCCAACGCGUCUAAACCUUGCCUUUAAAUGACCGAAAGCAUUCUCCACCACUCUUCGACAUUUCGAUAGAACAUAGUUAAAUUUUUUUUAUCCAAAGGUUGGUUUACACAAAAAGGGUAGGGUUUCAUUAAAUGUUCAGUUUGAACGCAGAGUCGCCCAAUAAAACUACUGGAACAUUAACUGACGAAAUUUGUCUACUCAGGUCUUUAAAUAAACUAGAUUGUGCCAACUGGCUUUUUAAAGAUGAACUCUCAAAUAUUGAAGUGCCAUUACAACGGCCUGGACUAACAACGUUGAUGUAUAUAAAGCGUCAUCUAUAACAUUACAGAUAUACAUUAGGUGUUAAAAGAGCUUCAUGAAAAAACUUACCUUGCAUCUACUAAGGCCAAAAGAACUGUGGAUUACCAGCCUUUAUAAUUGCAGUAGUCAACAGCAUCUUCU